rnacentral:rRNA from 1 species
UACGGAGGGUGCAAGCGUUAUCCGGAUUCACUGGGUUUAAAGGGUGCGUAGGUGGGCAGGUAAGUCAGUGGUGAAAUCUCCGGGCUUAACCCGGAAACUGCCAUUGAUACUAUCUGUCUUGAAUACCGUGGAGGUGAGCGGAAUAUGUCAUGUAGUGGUGAAAUGCUUAGAUAUGACAUAGAACACCAAUUGCGAAGGCAGCUCACUACACGAAUAUUGACACUGAGGCACGAAAAGCGUGGGGAUCAAACAGG